rnacentral:misc_RNA from 1 species
CCUGUGCUUAACUGGCAGGUUAUGUAAUCUAAUCUUUAAAUUUAUGAUAAAUGAUUUGGAUUACAUAACCUGCCAGUUAAGCACAGGAUUAGUGGGGAAGAAGGCAGCUUUAAACCUUUGGAGGCAUUUGUUAUGAACAAAGCAUUCUAACACAUACAUCACAUGAAAGGUAAAUAUUGCUAAAACUACUUUGUUUGCUGCUGGAACAACAUUACUGUCUGUUCCUUUUAAGGCUGCAAGAUGGGCACUUGUAUUGCUUGAUACUCUCAGCCUUAGCAGGUGUUAUCUUCACGCACUUUCCAUGGAACCACCUCUCACAGAUGUCACAGCCAAUCCAGAUCCACCACAACUCCCACAUAGGGUUUCAUUAUGUUCAUCUUCAUCAUCCACGUAUGCAUCUUCUGUCAGCUUAGGAUUGCUCUUAACUACUUGACCAUCGCCUGAUCUCUUUACACUGCCUCGCGAUUUGCUUCCACUAUCUACACUGGGCUUUUCUUUUAUAGGCUUUCUUUCGGUUACAACUUCAAAGACAGUGGGCACAUCAUUGAUCAAGCUAAAUAGCCGUUUUCUUUCAUUGCGAUUAAGACGAGCUCCAAAAUAGAAAGCCACAGAAAUCAACCAUGAAUCACUGUGCACAGCAACCAGUGAAAGCCAGUCUUUCCGGUCCAUGCCAUCUCUUGCAAAAUUGAUUCCAAGGGCAGGCUCAGGAAGCUCUGGUGGAACUUCCUCAGCUGGCAGAUUUACUUCCCAGGUUUCGUUUGGAUGCCCAUAUAGACAUAAAUUCUC